CUCGAGAGUCUGUAUAGUACGCUCGACUGCCCGUCACUCUGGGGGUGGAAAGCAGUGCUGAAGUCAAACGCGUACCCAGAGCGUCCUGUAAGCUCUUCCAAAAGUGUGAUACAAAACGGGGGUCUCGAUCCGAACGAUAGAAGUAGGUACCCCGUGCAAUCGCACAAUUCUCAUCCAAGUAUACCUGUGCGAGUCUCUCACCAGUCCAAGUAGUGUGGAUAGGUAUGAAAUGUGCCGAUUUCGUCAAUCUAUCCACAAUCACCCAAAUAGCGUCGUGCCCGGCCGUGAGCGAGGCAAUCCUAUCACGAAAUCCAUGGUGAUCUUUUCCCAUUUCCACA
rnacentral:lncRNA from 1 species